UACGGGGGGGGCAAGCGUUGUUCGGAAUUACUGGGCGUAAAGGGCUCGUAGGCGGCCAACUAAGUCGGACGUGAAAUCCCCAGGCUCAACCUGGGAACUGCGUCCGAUACUGGAUGGCUUGAAUUCGGGAGAGGGAUGCAGAAUUCCAGGUGUAGCGGUGAAAUGUGUAGAGAUCGGGAGGAACACCGGUGGCGAAGGCGGUCUUCUGGACGGUGACUGACGCUGAGGCGCGAAAGCGUGGGGAGCAAACGGG
rnacentral:rRNA from 1 species